rnacentral:tRNA from 1 species
UGGGGCGUAGCCAAGCGGUAAGGCACGAGGUUUUGGUCCUCGGAUGCGUAGGGUCGAAUCCUACCGCCCCAGCCA